rnacentral:rRNA from 1 species
UACGAAGGGGCUAGCGUUGCUCGGAAUCACUGGGCGUAAAGCGCACGUAGGCGGCUUUCUAAGUCAGGGGUGAAAUCCUGGAGCUCAACUCCAGAACUGCCUUUGAUACUGGAGAGCUAGAGUCCGGAAGAGGUGAGUGGAACUGCGAGUGUAGAGGUGAAAUUCGUAGAUAUUCGCAAGAACACCAGUGGCGAAGGCGGCUUACUGGUCCGGUUCUGACGCUGAGGCGCGAAAGCGUGGGAGCAAACAGG